rnacentral:rRNA from 1 species
AAUUGAAGAGUUUGAUCAUGGCUCAGAUUGAACGCUGGCGGCAGGCCUAACACAUGCAAGUCGAGCGGCAGCGACUUAACUGAACCUUCGGGGAACGUUAAGGGCGGCGAGCGGCGGACGGGUGAGUAAUGCCUGGGAAUAUGCCCUGAUGUGGGGGAUAACUAUUGGAAACGAUAGCUAAUACCGCAUAAUCUCUUCGGAGCAAAGAGGGGGACCUUCGGGCCUCUCGCGUCAGGAUUAGCCUAGGUGGGAUUAGCUUGUUGGUGAGGUAAUGGCUCACCAAGGCAACGAUCCCUAGCUGGUCUGAGAGGAUGAUCAGCCACACUGGAACUGAGACACGGUCCAGACUCCUACGGGAGGCAGCAGUGGGGAAUAUUGCACAAUGGGGGAAACCCUGAUGCAGCCAUGCCGCGGGUGUGAAGAAGGCCUUCGGGUUGUAAAGCACUUUCAGUAGGGAGGAAGGUAGUGUAGUUAACACCUGCAUUAUUUGACGUUACCUACAGAAGAAGCACCGGCUAACUCCGUGCCAGCAGCCGCGGU